GCGCCCUUAGCUCAGCUGGAUAGAGCGGCAGCCUCCGAAGCUGUAGGUCAGAGGUUCGAAUCCUCUAGGGCGCACCA
rnacentral:tRNA from 1 species